UGGCAAGAGAAGUCCAGGGGGGCAAAGAAGGGGAGGAGGAGCCACAGUUUGAGUACUGAAGUCAUUAUUGCUUGGAGUCUAUAAAAAGGCAGUUGCACAGAGUCCCCAGCCCCAGAUGUCAGGGGGGCUGAAACUUGGGCUCUCUGGAGGAAACGUUGCAGACGAGGAAAAGCAGCUGAAGGAGCGGCUCUGGUAAAUAGGCAGGAUCUUCUGCCUUUUGGAAAAUGCAUUUACCACACUCCUUGGCAAGCCCUUCAGAAGGAACA
rnacentral:lncRNA from 1 species